GCAUUAUUGCUUAUUUUUUGUGCGCAAAUCCUUAAAAACGAGAAUGAUUAAUAUUGAAUAUUUGAUAUAAAAAUAGACUGAAAUAAUUUUUUUUAUAAGUAACAUACAUAUAUUUUUCUAUCUUAAUAAAAUGAUAAAGAGAAAUAAGAAAUAAAGAAGACAUGUCUUACGACUGUAUAAAAUACUAAUACUUUAUUUUUCAAUCGCCCGUGCGUUAUACUACGCACAAUAAGAUAUGUACAAAGUUUAUUGUACCGGCUCUUAUCUCGCCUGAUACAAUUAAUCGCGCAAUUAACCGAUUAAAAAUCAUAUUUUACGUGCUAGGUUUAAAAAUUAACGCAUAAGUGUGAUUUCUGAAUUUAUCUGUUUUCACAUUUCUUUUUUUUUUUUUUUUCCAUUCUUCUGCACACUUUUUCGCUGCGAGUGAGAUUUAAAAAAAAAAGCUACACAUGCUGUUUCGAGCGGUGUAUGCGGUGCCUGAGGUAUAUCAGUGAUGCAUCGUGGGCUGGCACAACCGAUCUUAGGAACCGAGUGGAAUAAGCGACAGAUUGCGCCAUAACCCCCGAAAGGAAAUUCAUUUGGAUAUAAACACAUAUAACGUAACAUAAAUGUAAAAGAACAAAAGGGAACUAUUUUUCUAUCUCGUAAAAAUGCUUCCCUGUUCCUUUCAAAUCUCUCUAUAAUAUAACUCGCACAAGCAGUCAGUGUUUUUUCUUUUCAUUUUCUUUCAUUAUCGCCCACACAUACGUACGCACGCACACAUCUCGUGUAUAUAUAAUGUGUACAUAUAUAUAUAUAAUAAUUUUCCUCGUAUGUAUAGCUAUGUACAAAACACUAAGUGACUCGAUAUGACUAUGUGCAUUUUUCUCCUUAUUUUCUGGUUUUCUUCUCUUAUCUUUUUUUUUUUUUUUUUAGUCCGGCGGAUGAGGAUUAAAAUCGCUUUUCCUCCUAUUUUUCAUCGUUCUUUAGUUUUUUAUUUUUUUUUAUUUUUUAUUUUUAUUAUUUAUUUAAUUAUUUAAUUAUUUAAUUAUUUAUUUAUUUUUUUUUUUGAUACAUAAAAUUGGCGUAGUAGCUUCGUCGUCCUGCUACUAAAAAUUAAGUGUACAAUUCUAUUACGAAAUAGAUGCAUGAAGCGUA